AGAGUUUGAUCCUGGCUCAGAUUGAACGCUGGCGGCAGGCCUAACACAUGCAAGUCGAGCGGUAGCACAGAGAGCUUGCUCUCGGGUGACGAGCGGCGGACGGGUGAGUAAUGUCUGGGAAACUGCCUGAUGGAGGGGGAUAACUACUGGAAACGGUAGCUAAUACCGCAUAAUGUCGCAAGACCAAAGUGGGGGACCUUCGGGCCUCAUGCCAUCAGAUGUGCCCAGAUGGGAUUAGCUAGUAGGUGGGGUAACGGCUCACCUAGGCGACGAUCCCUAGCUGGUCUGAGAGGAUGACCAGCCACACUGGAACUGAGACACGGUCCAGACUCCUACGGGAGGCAGCAGUGGGGAAUAUUGCACAAUGGGCGCAAGCCUGAUGCAGCCAUGCCGCGUGUGUGAAGAAGGCCUUCGGGUUGUAAAGCACUUUCAGCGGGGAGGAAGGCGUUAAGGUUAAUAACCUUGGCGAUUGACGUUACCCGCAGAAGAAGCACCGGCUAACUCCGUGCCAGCAGCCGCGGUAAUACGGAGGGUGCAAGCGUUAAUCGGAAUUACUGGGCGUAAAGCGCACGCAGGCGGUCUGUCAAGUCGGAUGUGAAAUCCCCGGGCUCAACCUGGGAACUGCAUUCGAAACUGGCAGGCUAGAGUCUUGUAGAGGGGGGUAGAAUUCCAGGUGUAGCGGUGAAAUGCGUAGAGAUCUGGAGGAAUACCGGUGGCGAAGGCGGCCCCCUGGACAAAGACUGACGCUCAGGUGCGAAAGCGUGGGGAGCAAACAGGAUUAGAUACCCUGGUAGUCCACGCCGUAAACGAUGUCGAUUUGGAGGUUGUGCCCUUGAGGCGUGGCUUCCGGAGCUAACGCGUUAAAUCGACCGCCUGGGGAGUACGGCCGCAAGGUUAAAACUCAAAUGAAUUGACGGGGGCCCGCACAAGCGGUGGAGCAUGUGGUUUAAUUCGAUGCAACGCGAAGAACCUUACCUGUCUUGACAUCCACAGAACUUUCCAGAGAUGGAUUGGUGCCUUCGGGAACUGUGAGACAGGUGCUGCAUGGCUGUCGUCAGCUCGUGUUGUGAAAUGUUGGGUUAAGUCCCGCAACGAGCGCAACCCUUAUCCUUUGUUGCCAGCGGUCCGGCCGGGAACUCAAAGGAGACUGCCAGUGAUAAACUGGAGGAAGGUGGGGAUGACGUCAAGUCAUCAUGGCCCUUACGACCAGGGCUACACACGUGCUACAAUGGCAUAUACAAAGAGAAGCGACCUCGCGAGAGCAAGCGGACCUCAUAAAGUAUGUCGUAGUCCGGAUUGGAGUCUGCAACUCGACUCCAUGAAGUCGGAAUCGCUAGUAAUCGUAGAUCAGAAUGCUACGGUGAAUACGUUCCCGGGCCUUGUACACACCGCCCGUCACACCAUGGGAGUGGGUUGCA
rnacentral:rRNA from 1 species